UCUUCCACCCACCUCUCAUAUCUCUCUCCCACUCUCACUAAAUGCUAGUGUAUCUAUUUCUCUCUAAAUUUUCAUAUCAUUAAAUGUUAUUAAAGCUAAAUUAGUCAUAAAUUAUCCAUCUUCAUCAUCAUUGGGUCAUAAUAUCGAAAGAUCAAAUCUUCAAAUGCAAGAAAUCUUGUUUUAUUGCUAAAAUUCGGAUUUGAGGCUUUGUGGAAGAACUUGGUGAACAAGUUAAUCAGAGACGUAUUGGAUGAUUUGAUUGGUUUGAUGCAUACUAGGAUUGGACUUGGACUUUAUCAUGGAUCCGUGAUUCAUUGUUCCCGCUUAUGGGUUAUGCUUAGGAUCAUAUGCCAUCUCUUGUACUCUUUUUUGUAAACGUUUGAUGGUCGUGCUCCUUAUGCAUUUUUGUAUGAUCUCGGAAUUGUAAUUGAUUGAAUUGUAUGGGUUUUCAAUCCUUUUAAUGCAUUUAGAUUGACUCUA